AUUGAACGCUGGCGGCAGGCCUAACACAUGCAAGUCGAGCGGAUGAAGGGAGCUUGCUCCUGGAUUCAGCGGCGGACGGGCGAGUAAUGCCUAGGAAUCUGCCUGGCAGUGGGGGAUAACGUCCGGAAACGGGCGCUAAUACCGCACACGUCCUGAGGGAGAAAGUGGGGGAUCUUUGGACAUCACGCUAUCAGAUGAGCCUAGGUCGGAUUAGCUAGUUGGUGGGGUAAAGGCCUACCAAGGCGACGAUCCGUAACUGGUCUGAGAGGAUGAUCAGUCGCACUGGAACUGAGACACGGUCCAGACUCCUACGGGAGGCAGCAGUGGGGAAUAUUGGACAAUGGGCGAAAGCCUGAUCCAGCCAUGCCGCGUGUGUGAAGAAGGUCUUCGGAUUGUAAAGCACUUUAAGUUGGGAGGAAGGGCAGUAAGUUAAUACCUUGCUGUUUUGACGUUACCAACAGAAUAAGCACCGGCUAACUUCGUG
rnacentral:rRNA from 1 species